rnacentral:rRNA from 1 species
UGGUUCCUACGGGGGGCAGCAGUGAGGAAUAUUGGUCAAUGGGCGCAAGCCUGAACCAGCCAAGUCGCGUGAGGGAUGACGGUCCUAUGGAUUGUAAACCUCUUUUGUCGGGGAGCAAGGCCCGCCACGUGUGGCGGGAAGGAGAGUACCCGAAGAAAAAGCAUCGGCUAACUCCGUGCCAGCAGCCGCGGUAAUACGUAGGUGGCGAGCGUUGUCCGGAAUUACUGGGUGUAAAGGGAGUGUAGGCGGGAAAGCAAGUCAGAA